rnacentral:rRNA from 1 species
UACGUAGGUGGCAAGCGUUGUCCGGAUUUAUUGGGUUUAAAGGGUGCGUAGGCGGAUACUUAAGUCAGGGGUGAAAGACGGCCGCUCAACGGUCGCAGUGCCUUUGAUACUGGGUAUCUUGAGUGCAGACGAGGUCUGUGGAAUGGAUGGUGUAGCGGUGAAAUGCUUAGAUACCAUCCAGAACACCAAUUGCGAAGGCAGCAGACUAGGGUGCAACUGACGCUGAGGCACGAAAGUGCGGGGAUCAAACAGG